AUGAGAGGCUUGUUUACACUCAAGAAGCUGUUUUUGGAAUACAGAGGCACGAGCAAAAGUAAAUGAAAAGUUCUCCACGACACAACCACCUUCCCUCCCUGCCAUUGAAACGUUUGUUCAACCAGCUUCACAAUGUGAUUGGAAACCGCAUCUAAAGGACUGGAGUUAGCAGAAACCACACAGUGCCGUGGCCCAAUACGCAAUCAUUUUUAAAGCCAGCGGGCAUCACAUUCAACAUUCAUCAGGUUUGGACUCUGAUCCCAAUCUCUUUUGGGAAUUACAAGCUUCCAGUAAAGAGGGCAGGAGGAAUCACAUUGGCCGGAUAAAGAGACUGCUUAUGGUUUGGCACAGAGACACCCGGCACUAUUUAAAACUGAGGACUGCACUAAAACUGUGCCGGGGUGCGGUCAGGCCCAAACCUGCGCAUUGCGAUCCGGUGGGCCCGCUCCACGCUUACUAGGCCCGACUCCAACUCCAACUCCAGGAACUUCGGGAGCCAUCCGAGGUCCUUGCCUUCCUCACAUUCCGGGAGACCCAUGAUCUGUUCAGGAAGGCGGAGCUCUGAAUGUCAAGUGACCAAUGGCCAGGUGUUUGGACGGGAAUGUGACGAUAUCUUCUGGACGCAUCCAAAUAGAAUUGGCAAACAUGGAAUAGUGACUCUGGCUCUAUGAAGUGUGUCAGAGGUCUUGAAUUCAGGAAUUGAAGUUGAAGGAAACAUGGGGACUUGUGGAAAUCAAUUGUGCCUGAACAAUACAUCCAGGCAGCAUCUGAGAAGCAAGACAGUCAAUGUUUUGGGCAUGACCCGUCUUUAUGACUUUCUCUUGAAGAAUGAAGACUGAGGAUCUGUUAGAGAUCCUUAAAACUAUUAAGUAUUUCAAUAAGGUGGGUGUAGAGAAGAUGUUUACAAUGGUUGACCAAACUUGAAGGCCUCAAAUAAUAGUUGGUCACUAGUAAAUCCAAUAAAAAUGCAGAAAAAAAUAUUAUUAUCAAGAGAAUGGUGAGAAUGUAGAACUCACUAAUACAAAGAAUGGUUGAGGCAAAAGGCAUGGAUGCAUUUAAAAGGAAAAUAAAUAUUUGAAAGAGAAUGGAAUAAGACGUUUGAUGGGGAUAGUUGUGAAGAGGCUCAAGUGGAGCAUAAACAAUAGCAUGGAUUAUUUGGGCCAAGUGGACUGUUCCUAGACUAUGAAUACUUUGUAAAGUCAAACUGGCUGUCUACGGUGAUACAGGCUCCUAAUACUGAGCCACAGCUAUGUAUAAAGCUAACAAACACACAAGCAAUGGCAGAUAAGAAAAGAUCCUUUGAUCCAAUAUGUCUCACACAUAUAACACUCCUACCUCACCAUGUUAUCACGUGAGAAAUGUGAAAUACUAGGAGUAAAUCCAGGCUAUUUUGGGGAUUAAAAAAUAUGAAAUUCCUCUCUGAUACCUGGAUGCAUUUUAAACUGGUCGAAGUGGUGAUUUUAUAACAAUUGUUUAAUUUUACUUGUAGUUAAAAUGUUCUUUUACAAAGCAACGAAUUCGUAUUCUUUGGCUUUUCUCCCAUACAGUUUAAAAAUGACAAAACUGCCAGCCAGUUAAUUAAUGUAAGUAUAUGUUGGGGCUGGAUUAUAAGGGCAACAGUCUAGUUUUUAUAAUUCUAUGACAGAAACAGCACUUUUCCAGAUCGUUCAUGCUCUAUUUUGUCCACUAGGUGGUUCUGUUGAAUGAUCAAAAUAGCACCCGCUAUUGUUAUGAAACACAGAAUCUAAAACGGAAAUAGAAAUUGCUGGAGAAAUUUGGCAGGUCUGGCAGCAUCUAUGGAGGGAAAGGAGAGUUAACAUUUUGAGCCUAGUGUUCAGAGUUCAGGCCUAAAGAAGGCCUGAAACAUUAACUCUGCUUUCGCUCCUCAGAUGUUGGCACCUCAUAUUAGUAGAAUGGCAUAACUACUGUGGAUUUUAAUUUUGUGAUCCAGUAACCUGGGUUGUGCCCACACCAUCUUCAUGAUGAUAAGAAGCAAACAGGUA